rnacentral:rRNA from 1 species
AUUGAACGCUAGCGGGAUGCUUUACACAUGCAAGUCGAACGAGUUGCGGACGGGUGCGUAAUAUAUCGGAACGCGCCCAGUAGCGGGGGAUAACUACUCGAAAGAGUGGCUAAUACAGCAUACUAUUGGAGCGACCGAUAACGGAUUUGCUCGUUGGUGGGGUAAGGGGUCACCAAGGCAACGGUCCGUAGCUAGUUUGAGAGGACGAUCAGCCACACUGGGACUGAGAAACGGCCCAGACUCUGACGGGAGGCAGCAGUGGGGAAUUUUGGACAAUGGGGGAGACCCUGAUCCAGCCAUCCCGCGUGUAUGAGAAGGCCUUCGGGUGGUAAAGUACUUUUGGCAGAGAAGCGGUAUCUGCAGAAUAAGCACCGGCUAACUACGUGCCAGCAGCCGCGGUAAUAC